rnacentral:rRNA from 1 species
UACGUAGGUGGCAAGCGUUUGUCCGGAUUUACUGGGCGUAAAGAGCGCGCAGGCGGUCGUUCAAGUCGCGUGUGAAAGCCCCCGGCUCAACUGGGGAGGGUCACGCGAUACUGAUCGACUCGAAGGCAGGAGAGGGAAGUGGAAUUCCCGGUGUAGUGGUGAAAUGCGUAGAUAUCGGGAGGAACACCAGUGGCGAAGGCGACUUCCCGGCCUGUUCUUGACGCUGAGGCGCGAAAGCUAGGGGAGCAAACGGG